GGUACCAUACUUCCUUUGCCUCCCAUGGCCACUGGUCUCCCAUAUUAGUACCUCCACAUACAAAGCAAUUAGUUACAUUACAACUACCCGCAAUACUCUCAGCCAAAUCAAUAAAUAGGUUCUUAACAUUAUGGGGAAUUUUAUCCUCAACACUCAUCUCCUCAUAAAAGGAAUGAAAAACCUGAUGAGUUUGAGUUGCUACGUCUCAGUUUCGAGUCCUACAUAUAUUAUGGUCCCUGGAUCUACU